rnacentral:misc_RNA from 1 species
GAUGAAGAACGCAGCGAAAUGCGAUAAGUAGUGUGAAUUGCAGAAUUCAGUGAAUCAUCGAAUCUUUGAACGCACAUUGCGCCCCUUGGUAUUCCAUGGGGCAUGCCUGUUCGAGCGUCAUUUGUACCUUCAAGCUCUGCUUGGUGUUGGGUGUUUGUCUCGCCUCUGCGUGUAGACUCGCCUCAAGACAAUUGGCAGCCGGCGUAUUGAUUUCGGAGCGCAGUACAUCUCGCGCUUUGCACUCAUAACGACGACGUCCAAAAGUACAUUUUUACACUCUUGACCUCGGAUCAGGUAGGGAUACCCGCUGAACUUAAGCAUAUCAAUAAGCGGAGGA